rnacentral:rRNA from 1 species
GUGAGGAAUAUUGGUCAAUGGGCGGAAGCCUGAACCAGCCAUCCCGCGUGCAGGAAGACGGCCCUAUGGGUUGUAAACUGCUUUUCCAGGGGGAGAAACUUUCCGAUGCAUCGGGCUUUGACGGUACCCUGGGAAUAAGCAUCGGCUAACUCCGUGCCAGCAGCCGCGGUAAUACGGAGGAUGCGAGCGUUAUCCGGAUUUAUUGGGUUUAAAGGGUGCGUAGGCGGGUUAAUAAGUCAGUGGUGAAAACCUACAGCUUAACUGUAGACUUGCCGUUGAUACUGUUAGUCUUGAGUGUGGUCAAGGUAGGCGGAAUGUGUAAUGUAGCGGUGAAAUGCUUAGAUAUUACACAGAACACCGAUUGCGAAGGCAGCUUACUGGGCCAUUACUGACGCUGAUGCACGAAAGCGUGGGGAUCAAACAGGAUUAGAAACCCUAGUAGUCC